rnacentral:lncRNA from 1 species
UUGAAUAUAGAAAUCAAUGCAUCUUAUUCAUCUUCAGGUUUUACUUUUGCUUGUUUUGUCCCUCUUGCUGUGUGACAUUUGGUAGUAGCCUUUUACAUUUUAGUGCGCAUCUCAUUUUGAAUGAGAUUUCUUUACAUGUCUUGCAGAUAUGCAUAUCCUUUUAUGAGGUGAAAAGCAAGCCGCCAUCUUGGUUCUCUAACAAAACCGAGCGCCUAUUUUGGGAACAAUGGUAUGUCAAUUUGAAUGUUACUCAACACCCGAAACCACAUUCGGGCAAAUCUCAUCAUACCAAAGUGGUCGUUGACCCAGGAGGUACAACAAUGCUUAUGCCCUUAACUUUAAAAUCAUAAACUGUUUUAACUUUCUUCAAAACUAAUUGAUUUUCUUCUUUUUUUUUUUUUUAAUUUGUUUGUGUUCAUUAUUAUAGAGAGUGCUUCUGAGGAGAGAGGUUCGCGCAGAGUAGCACUUGAAGUAUCUCUUCGAGAGGUCAUGUUUCAAAUAAUAAAGUUUGUUAAUGAGAAGAAGGACCAUGUUCCCCCCAUAUCUGAGGGUGUCAUCUAUUUUCCACAUGAAAUUACUGUACCAAGGUCAGUUCUCCCUUCUGUACAUUUUCAUUUUUUUUCAGGUUACUUUCAAAGGAAACAUGGUAGUGGAAAGCUGCAACGUUAAUGUUCUGCUCUUUUCCAGCAAAACUUUGAUCUUGUUCUUGUGCAUAAAGAAUACUUUAACUGGCUCAAUAUAGAGGAGUACUUGAUUAAACUUGAAGUGGAAGUUAAGAAUUGAUGUCUUAGAAGUUUUUGAAAGAUAUGACUGGUCUAAAAAUGAAUGUUUAAAAGAUUCUAAUGAAUGAACCUAAAAAGCAGAUUCUAAUUCAUGUUAGGAAUAAAACGGCAGUGAGAUUUUUCUUGAAUCUAGUAAAGUUUACUUUCUUGCAUUAAAUAUAAUAUCCAUUUCUUCAUCUUUACUGAGUAUGUUAGAGCUUUCUGCUUGAUUGUGUAAAACUAUCAAAUUUUGAAAUAACCACUAGGUUUUAUUCCUUUUUCCCCUUUUAUUCACUACUAUUUGUAGUGUUUAUCCUCAGUUGAUGGGAUUAGAUUGCACCAUACGAAUUCAUUUUGUUUGGACGAAGCUAGAAUAUGUAUUCUGUGAGAAGGCUGCCUUCCCACAAAAGAGGCAUUUCUGUGCUUUAGAAAAGUGCCUUGAUGAUGAGAUAAACUUCUUGAAAACAGUCAUCUAAUAUUGGUUUGUCUGUCUAGCUUCCCAAAUUCUGAAUAAUCCUACCACUUGAUUCCUACUUGACAAAUUCUCGCUCAGGAUGCUUAUAAGAUGUUUAUUUUGUCUUUUAAUGCAACCAGGAGAUGAUAUCUCUAAUGGAGUCAGAGAGGUUGUUUGUUUUUAUUUUUGAUGGAAUUGAAUGAUCUUAUAUUUAAAUGUUUUAAUCAGCUAACUAGGAAGAAAGAAAUUUAGAGAAAAUUGUUAUCAUCUACAUGUAAUUAGGAAGUUAGGUUUUAACUGAAAGUAGUUGGUUUUUGUUGAUGUUCUUAGUAUUCUGAUUUGAGAUAUUUGAACUGAAUGUGCAAAAUAUAGUUAGAGUCACAAAUUAACCAUGUCAAACUAAGCUCAAUUGACUGCGCUGAUCCGUUGCUUUUGUUUUGAUGAAUUGUUGUUGCCAUUCUCAUCUCUGUUUGUUAGGAAAUUUCAAUGAAGAACAUGUUUAGAAUGGUGAGUUAAUAUUGUGCUGCCAUUACUCAGUUCAUCAGAUUCUGCUUUUGGAAUGGACAUGAUCAAGAGGAUGCUUCAGACUGGGCAUCCAACCAUGCUCAGCUGAUUAUCAGACUAGGCAAGCUAAUUCACUCCCUAAAUCUCUUUCGGGGUAAAACAGUUCCUCUACUCGUGAUAUACAUAAAUGCUCAAAUUAAACAUGUAGCAAAGUGCAGAACUGAUGAAAGCCAAUGAGGCAGGCAAGGUUUGAAUAUCUGAAGAUAUAAUAGCUAGGUGCAUAAUUGAAUCCAUUAUCUUGUAAAUAUUAUCUCAUUUACAUCCUUUUCCUUUUCUUGAGAUGUUAUCAGUUGCUGUAUGAUAUUCUUACUUCUUGGGUGAACUACUCAGCAGAAUCAUGCAUUCAUGCUCAUGCUGUCUCCUUGAGCAAAAAUGAUUACCUGAUUUCUGGUGCAGCUAUAUGAAUAUAUAAUUAUGAAGGAAUGAUUUUAUUUUAUAUUUAUAAAUUUCGUUCACCUAUACUCUUUAUUGUUUUCAUAUUGCUACAUGCCUUAGCUGAGUUAUAUUACACAUUGAAUUACUUAUAGAUAAUUCCGCCCCCAACACAUAUAAAGAUUAUGCAAAUACCCUUCUUAUUUAUGACCACUGAAUUCUAUAAGGUUUUUUCUCACGUUAUUUGGAAGAAAAAAUGAUACUGAAAUGUUUAUAGCCACUUGUCACGGAUUAUAUUGGAAAGAUUUUUCACCCUUGAAGUCGACGGGUUGAGCCCCGGUGGAUAAGCCACUUUCAGUGGGAACUUGGAUGGGAGCAAUUGUGCAAACAAAAAUAUCAAGCAAAAAAAGAGUAUUGAGAGGAAAAGGAAACUAUGAAGCACUUUGCUCUAAUUCAUGGCAUGUGUCAUGGAGCUUGGUGCUGGUACGAGGAUGUCUUACUCCUCAAAUCAGCUGGCCGCCGUGUCACUCCACUGGAUCUUGGUGCCAGUGGAAUCAAGUCCAAGAAGAUUAGUGAGUGUUUAUCUCACAGCCUCUAUGCCAAAUCAUGAUUCUCCUCCUGGAACUGGAGUAGAAGAGGUACUAAUUAAUUAAGCUUUACAUUCUAUAAAUCUACUUUUUUUACGAAGAAAAUAGAAGUUUGAAGAUAAGAAAAAAAUUAUAAGUAUUAGAAUUUAAGUUUUAAAUUUAUUGAAUAUCAUUUUCUAAACAUAUUUAUAUGGAUCAAUUAAAUUAAGUUUUAGGUUCAAAUCUCUCUUUUUUUUCCUCGAAUUUGAACUUAAUACUUUUUAAAUUUAAGUUAUGGAUUCUAAUUAUGAUGAUAUCUUAUAUACAAGUUAAAACAUUUUAAAUUAGAAUUUAGACUUUAGAUUUGUUUAUUUAUUCAAUCAUCUUUAAAAGUUAUAUUUAACAAAUUUAAAAUUCAAACCACAACACUUUUAACCUUUACUUUUAUUUUUAGACUUUACUUAUUUUUUACAAAAAAAAAAAAAAGUGAGUAUGAAGUGUUGAGACUUUGUUCAUGUAAAAACAUAGUGAAUUGUGAACGAUUGAUGGAAAUGUAUUUUUUUUUUAAAGAAUAUCAAAUCAUAUUCUUUGGAAAAAUAAAUAAAUAAAAAAUACCAUAAGCCGUCGAUGAUGUGAAUGAGGACAUUUUCUUUUUUCUUUAUUUUUUAAAUUGAAUAUGCGUUCAAGGCUAGCAAUUUUCAUAACUAUAUGCAAAUGCAAGUUUCAAAACAUCUAAUUUUUGGUUGAAUAUUUAUGGAAGCUAGUACUUCAAAAGGGUUAUGGCAGAGCCCAUCAUGGAUUUCCAGCUAUCGUUUGAUGAUGGACCAGAAAAUCCACCAACUCAUGCCUUAUUUGGCCCAAAAUUCAUGGUGGCAAAGGUUUAUCAACUGUCCCUAAAGGGGUCAGUAACUCAGUAUCUCAUAAAAAUUCAAUUUCAUCUGCACCAAAUGGUUAAGAACACUAAUGUGGUUGUGCUGAUGUUGUUGGAAUGUAGGAUAUAGAAUUGGCAAAAACGGUGAUGAGACAAGGAAAGUGGUUUAUGAAAGAUUUGUCAAAUGAAUAUCUGCUAACAAAAGAGAAAUUUGGAUCGGUUCAUCGAGUUUUUAUAGUUUGCAAUGAUGAUUUGCUGAUAAAGGAAAGCUUGCAGCAAUGGUACAUUGAGCAUAGCCCAACAGGUGAUGUGAAGUUCAUAGCUGGUGCUGACCAUAUGCCCAUGUUCUCCAAGCCCAAGGAGGUCUGCAAAUGUCUCCAGGAGCACCUCCUUUUGUCCAAUAGCGACGGCAAGCCAUGCAAAAGUGACGAGGCUGAGUUAGAUUGUAGUUGUUGUAGUAGCAGAACUUUGUGUUCGAGGAAUCACACCUGGGGCACCUCAAAUUCCGGUUCUCCGAAUUUCCUGAAGCUGUAGAAUUAGUAGUUGUAGUUGUUGAAGAAGAAGGAGGUGAUGAUGGAGAAGAAGUAGGGGUUCCUUCCAAAAUGCUUCCACUGAUGGAGAUUUUCAUCUCCCCUCCAAUAUUUAAGCCUGCAGUACCUCCCAGGAGUUCUUGAAUCAUCUUUUAAAUUUCUUCUCUUUGUAGAUCUACAACAAUCCAAAAAACAAGAAAAGCAAAGAAGCUGAUUAUUUUUUAGUGGAUGAAAAGCUAAAGUAAGCUUUGUUGUGUAUUAACUUAUAUAUAAUCCAUGACCAUGUGUGUGACAGAGAUAGAAUGAAUGGAGGUGGGAAACAUGAACUUGCCUAUGUAAGUUCAGUUGAAUGGAUUGGGUUGGCUUUGGGUUUUCUUUUGCGGGUGCAAAAGAAUAGAGGAUAUAGGUUGGGAAUGCUUUAAUAUAACGACCUAUACAGUCAUUGAGAAAGAAGUUUUUUUCUCCAUUUCCUAGUCUACCCUUUUGAUUAUCAUGCUAUUCUUCACUUAUAAAAAAUAUAUAUAUAACUGUUUCCAUCUUGAAUUAAGUUUUUGAUGCACAUUCUUCCACCACAUUAUCUUCGGAUUUUUCAAAUUUAUGAGUCAUAGUAUUUUUCAUAUAAUUUAUUUUAAAUUUCUAAAUUUUCAAUUAACAAAAAUGUAUGAAAUUCAAAUAGUUAAACAUAUAAUGGAUUCAAGGAAAAAAAAAAGUCAUUCUCCAAGUUAUAUAGGCCACUGCCCCCACUAACUUUAAUUAGUUAACCACACUCAAAACUGAAUCCCUUUUUAUGAACCAAUUAAUCCUAUGAGUGUUUUUGGUAAUUAAUUUCUCUUAAUAGUUGGAGAUGGGCUCUUCUAGUAUAUAUACACUGCUGCACUGUAGUUAAUUAAAUAAUUAUAUCAAUUUUUUAUAAAAUAGAUCACAAUUUGAGAAUUGAAUUAGAUAUAUUGAAUAUUAUUUUUUAAAAAUAAUUGCAUGAAUUAAUUAAAAAAAUUUAAAUUCAAUUACACCAAUUUUCAAGCAUUUUAAAUGUUAAAAGUGGAGAAUAGACUGUGUGGGAGUACAUGGCUGUGGUUUUCAAAUGAGCAUUUGUCAAAAAUUUUUUUCCUUUUGCUUGGAAGACUAUGGUAUGGACAAUGGAAUCUUGGGUUGUAUUAAUUGUAUAUGUAUCUUUCAUGGCUUCAACUUUUCUCCUUUGGUUCAAUUGAUUAGUUCAUUUACCUCCAUAAUAAAAGGUUUUGAAUUCAUAUUGAUGAAAAAUUUUCUCCUGAGAAAAUGGUUUUUGUUUUUAUUUUUAUUUUUAUUUUUUAGAAAAUUGUUUUUCUUUUCUUUUCUUUUUCCUAAAAAAUGUAUUUGAUGAAUGAAAACAAAAAUUAUUUUUUAAAAAAUAAAAAAUAAGAAAAAUUAAGUAAUUAUGGAAAUAAUUAUUAUUAAUGACAUCUAAUUUUAAAUAUGUAAUAUAUAUUUAUUAAUUAAUAAUUUCCAAAAAUAUUUAAAUAUGGAUCAACUUCUUAACUUGUAAAACAUAAGAAAAAAAGUAAUGAGAAUUUCUUAGUUUCAUAAUUAAAAACAUUUUUUUAUUUUCAUAUUUGAAUCUAUUUUUAUUUUUGUUUUUUAAAAACUUAUUUUUAUUUUUCAUUACCAAAUAGUUCAUUCUUGUUUUUCAUUUUUCAAAAAAAUAAAAUAAAAAUGUCUCUAUUUUUUAAAACCAAUCACUAUUUAAGCUUUUGGGCAAAACCGAAUGAAAAAAUUAUACAUCUGCAUCUUAGAUUAAGAACAAAAAAAAUACUAUUUUUUAAAAAACUAUAAGAAUAUUUUGAUUAAAGGAAUCAAAAUCUUUAGCAAUUCUUCCAAAAGAACUACUAUUUUUAAAAUUGAAUAAAUUAAGAAAAAAAAAAGUAACAUAAUGAGCGAUGGGCCAUAUUGGGCCUCACAGCCGACCUUGUUGAUGUUGAGGCAUGCAGCAGGAGCGGCCCGUCAACGAGGCCAUCUUUUAUAGCCGCGAAAUAAAACAAAGACGGCACCGUUUUGAUAAUCAAGAACGAAAAUGGAUUAAAAUUCACUUAUGUAAGCCCUUUUGUUAUCCAAACCAGAUAAAAAAAAAAAGGAAAAAGAAAAGGUGGAAAAAAAAAAGAGAGAUUUUCAAGCUUAAACGAAGGAAGAAGCCAUCCUCCAAUUAGAAGAUCGAUUCACCCAAACCACUGUAAAGCCUCGAAAAGAAAAAUCUACGGUAGAAAUCUAGGGUUUGAUUGAUCCAAUUUUCUUCAAUUUUUUAUUUGAUUUUUCCUCUUCAACGAUCAUCAUGAACUGCGAAGUCUGCCAACUCAAAGAACUGGUUACCAAAAUUUGGUCUUAUACUAUUUAUUUCACAUAUUAACUAUAUUAUUUAUGCUUCUGAUUAAAAAAUUCGUUUACUUUGUGCAAAAUUUAUCAAAUUUCUAUUUAGGAGGUGGAGCACUUCGAAAUACGAGAGGUUUUGCGCUGUAAGUUCACUGUUUGAUUUCUGUUAGUUUUAUUUUUUUUAUAAUUAAUUUCAUUUAUUAGUUCGAAAUUAUUUUUUUAUGUUUUUUUUUUUUUUUUUGGUUUUAUUUGAUUUGAUGAUUACGAGAAAAUAAAGUUUGGGUUUUUCUUUAUUUUUUAAAGUUUAUUUUGAACUGAAAGUAAAGAGAUGAAAAUUUUGAUGAUGGCAGGCAUUUUACACACAAUAGUGUUUCAUAGAGCUUUGGGUCUAGUUCGGCCCAAAGAUGUUGAUUUGGAGCUCUUUGAGAUUACUUAUGUAAGUAAUUCAUGAUUUCUUUCCUUUUUUUUUUUUUGGAUGAUGUAAUUCCUGUUUCUAGUAUUACUUUUCCAAUCAAAAUUACUGCCUUUGUUUCCUGAUUUUCACCCGCAUUUGACAUGUAUCUGUUUUGCAUGUUCCCCACAUUUAUAUUUGUUAUAUGUAGGUGCAAUGUGGGGAUGUUGAACUUGAGAAGAAAAUAGAUGAGAAGAUUGAACAUUUUGUAAGUUGGGUAGAAAAACAUCCCAAUAAGAAAAGUCAGGUAUGUCUACUUCGCUUGUAGUUUUAGCCUUUUUCUUUUGAAUAUAGAAAUCAAUGCAUCUUAUUCAUCUUCAGGUUUUACUUUUGCUUGUUUUGUCCCUCUUGCUGUGUGACAUUUGGUAGUAGCCUUUUACAUUUUAGUGCGCAUCUCAUUUUGAAUGAGAUUUCUUUACAUGUCUUGCAGAUAUGCAUAUCCUUUUAUGAGGUGAAAAGCAAGCCGCCAUCUUGGUUCUCUAACAAACCCGAGCACCUAGUUUGGGAACAAUGGUAUGUCAAUUUGAAUGUUACUCAACACCCGAAACCACAUUCGGGCAAAUCUCAUCAUACCAAAGUGGUCGUUGACCCAG